rnacentral:lncRNA from 1 species
AUGAACAAAGCUAAUGGAGGUGAUGGAAUUCCAGUUGAGCUGUUUCAAAUUCUGAAAGAUGAUGCUGUGAAAGUGCUGCACUCAAUAUGCCAGCAAAUUUGGAAAACUCAGCAGUGGCCAAAGGACUGGAAAAGGUUAGUUUUCAUUCCAAUCCCAAAGAAAGGCAAUGCCAAAGAAUGCUCAAACUACCACACAAUUGCACUCAUCUCACAUGCUAGUAAAGUAAUGAUCAAAAUUCUCCAAGCCAGGCUUCAGCAAUACAUGAACCAUGAACUUCCAGAUGUUCAAGCUGGUUUUAGAAAAGGCAGAGGAACCAGAGAUCAAAUUGUCAACAUCCGAUGGAUCACAGAAAAAGCAAGAGAGUUCCAGAAAAACAUCUAUUUCUGCUUUAUUGACUAUGCCAAAGCCUUAGACUGUGUGGAUCACAAUAAACUGUGGGAAAUUCAUCAAAAGAUGGGAAUACCAGACCACCUGACCUGCCUCUUGAGAAGCCUAUAUGCAGGUCAGGAAGCAACAGUUACAACUGGACAUGGAACAACAGACUCGUUCCAAAUAGGAAAAGGAGUAGGUCAAAGCUGUAUAUUGUCACCCUGCUUAUUUAACUUCUAUGCAGAGUACAUCAUGAGAAACGUUGGACUGGAAGAAACACAAGCUGGAAUCAAGACUGCUGGGAGAAAUCUCAAUCACCUCAGAUAUGCAGAUGACACCACCCUUAUGGCAGAAAGUGAAGAGGAGCUAAAAAGCCUCUUGAUGAAAGUGAAAGAGGAGAGUGGAAAAGUUGGCUUAAAUCUCAACAUUCAGAAAACAAAGAUCAUGGCAUCUGGUCCCAUCACUUCAUGGCAAAUAGAUGGGGAAACAGUGGAAACAGUGUCAGUCUUUAUUUUUCAGGGCUCCAAAAUCACUGCAGAUGGUGAUUGCAGCAGUGAAAUUCAAAGAUGCUUACUCCUUGGAAGGAAAGUUAUGACCAACCUAGACAGCAUAUUCAAAAGCAGAGACAUUACUUUGCCAACAAAUGUCCGUCUAGUCAAGGCUAUGGUUUUUCCAGUGGUCAUGUGUGGAUGCAAGAAUUGGACUGUGAAGAAAGCUGAGUGCCGAAGAAUUGAUGUUUUUGAACUGUGGUGUUGGAGAAGACUCCUGAGAGUCCCUUGGACUAGACGGAGAUCCAAACAGUCCAUUCUAAAAGCUAUCAGUCCUGGGUGUUCUUUGGAAGGACUGAUGCUGAAGUUGAAACUCCAGUACUUUGGCCACCUCAUGUGA